rnacentral:rRNA from 1 species
CACGUAGGGUGCGAGCGUUGUCCGGAAUUAUUGGGCGUAAAGAGCUCGUAGGCGGCCUGUCGCGUCGGGAGUGAAAGCCCACUGCUUAACGGUGGGUCUGCUUCCGGUACGGGCGGGCUGGAGUAUGGCAGGGGAGACUGGAAUUCCUGGUGUAGCGGUGGAAUGCGCAGAUAUCAGGAGGAACACCGAUGGCGAAGGCAGAUCUCUGGGCCGUAACUGACGCUGAGGAGCGAAAGCAUGGGGAGCGAACAGG